GUCUGGGUGGCUCAGUCAGUUAAGUGUCUGACUUCGGCUCAGGUCAUGAUCCCAGGGUUCAUGAGUUCAAGCCUCAUCUUGGGCU
rnacentral:tRNA from 1 species